GCUCGAGUGGCGAACGGGUGAGUAACACGUGAGUAACCUGCCCUUGACUUUGGGAUAACUCCAGGAAACUGGGGCUAAUACCGGAUAGGAGCUCCUGCUGCAUGGUGGGGGUUGGAAAGUUUCGGCGGUUGGGGAUGGACUCGCGGCUUAUCAGCUUGUUGGUGGGGUAGUGGCUUACCAAGGCUUUGACGGGUAGCCGGCCUGAGAGGGUGACCGGCCACAUUGGGACUGAGAUACGGCCCAG
rnacentral:rRNA from 1 species